rnacentral:rRNA from 1 species
AGUUUGAUCAUGGCUCAGGAUGAACGCUAGCGGCAGGCCUAAUACAUGCAAGACGAACGGUAAGUUGAGUAGCAAUACUUAGCCAAGAGUGUCGUACGGGUGCGUAACACGUAUGCAACCUACCCUAUACAGGAGAUAGCCUAGGGAAACCUGGAUUAACCCUUCAUAGUAUUAUUGGAUGGCAUCAUUUGAUAGUUAAAAACUGAGGUGGUAUAGGAUGGGCAUGCGUCUGAUUAGUUAGUUGGCGGGGUAAUGGCCCACCAAGACGAUGAUCAGUAGGGGUUCUGAGAGGAAGAUCCCCCACACUGGCACUGAGAUACGGGCCAGACUCCUACGGGAGGCAGCAGUAGGGAAUAUUGGUCAAUGGAUGCAAGUCUGAACCAGCCAUGCCGCGUGCAGGAAGAAGGCCUUCUGGGUUGUAAACUGCUUUUGCCAGGGGAUAAAAUUUCCAUGCGUGGAAAACUGAAGGUACCUGGUGAAUAAGCCACGGCUAACUACGUG